GCAAGUCGAGCGAAUCGAUGGGAGCUUGCUCCCUGAGAUUAGCGGCGGACGGGUGAGUAACACGUGGGCAACCUGCCUAUAAGACUGGGAUAACUUCGGGAAACCGGAGCUAAUACCGGAUACGUUCUUUUCUCGCAUGAGAGAAGAUGGAAAGACGGUUUCGGCUGUCACUUAUAGAUGGGCCCGCGGCGCAUUAGCUAGUUGGUGAGGUAAUGGCUCACCAAGGCGACGAUGCGUAGCCGACCUGAGAGGGUGAUCGGCCACACUGGGACUGAGACACGGCCCAGACUCCUACGGGAGGCAGCAGUAGGGAAUCUUCCGCAAUGGACGAAAGUCUGACGGAGCAACGCCGCGUGAACGAAGAAGGCCUUCGGGUCGUAAAGUUCUGUUGUUAGGGAAGAACAAGUACCAGAGUAACUGCUGGUACCUUGACGGUACCUAACCAGAAAGCCACGGCUAACUACGUGCCAGCAGCCGCGGUAAUACGUAGGUGGCAAGCGUUGUCCGGAAUUAUUGGGCGUAAAGCGCGCGCAGGUGGUUCCUUAAGUCUGAUGUGAAAGCCCACGGCUCAACCGUGGAGGGUCAUUGGAAACUGGGGAACUUGAGUGCAGAAGAGGAAAGUGGAAUUCCAAGU
rnacentral:rRNA from 1 species